rnacentral:lncRNA from 1 species
GAUAAUAGCAAGAAAUGUGUAGAAUAGUUAGUGGUUGUAAAUGAAGGGAUUGAGCCACUUCAAAAAAAUCAUGCUUGAGAAUUAGUUUAGUUACCUAACGGUGAAAAGGUAGUAGGCUAUAAAUAGGUUUUUAAGAAGAAAACAAAAUUUAUGGGAUUGAGACAACAUAUAUGGUUUGUUGCAAAGGGCGGCGCUGAGA